GUGUAUAUAUGCUUAUAUACACAUGUGUGUAUAUAUGCUUAUAUACACAUGUGUGUAUAUAUGCUUAUAUACAUG
rnacentral:pre_miRNA from 8 species